rnacentral:rRNA from 1 species
GGUUAAGCGACUAAGCGUACACGGUGGAUGCCCUGGCAGUCAGAGGCGAUGAAGGACGUGCUAAUCUGCGAUAAGCGUCGGUAAGGUGAUAUGAACCGUUAUAACCGGCGAUUUCCGAAUGGGGAAACCCAGUGUGUUUCGACACACUAUCAUUAACUGAAUCCAUAGGUUAAUGAGGCGAACCGGGGGAACUGAAACAUCUAAGUACCCCGAGGAAAAGAAAUCAACCGAGAUUCCCCCAGUAGCGGCGAGCGAACGGGGAGCAGCCCAGAGCCUGAAUCAGUGUGUGUGUUAGUGGAAGCGUCUGGAAAGGCGCGCGAUACAGGGUGACAGCCCCGUACACAAAAAUGCACAUGCUGUGAGCUCGAUGAGUAGGGCGGGACACGUGGUAUCCUGUCUGAAUAUGGGGGGACCAUCCUCCAAGGCUAAAUACUCCUGACUGACCGAUAGUGAACCAGUACCGUGAGGGAAAGGCGAAAAGAACCCCGGCGAGGGGAGUGAAAAAGAACCUGAAACCGUGUACGUACAAGCAGUGGGAGCACGCUUAGGCGUGUGACUGCGUACCUUUUGUAUAAUGGGUCAGCGACUUAUAUUCUGUAGCAAGGUUAACCGAAUAGGGGAGCCGAAGGGAAACCGAGUCUUAACUGGGCGUUAAGUUGCAGGGUAUAGACCCGAAACCCGGUGAUCUAGCCAUGGGCAGGUUGAAGGUUGGGUAACACUAACUGGAGGACCGAACCGACUAAUGUUGAAAAAUUAGCGGAUGACUUGUGGCUGGGGGUGAAAGGCCAAUCAAACCGGGAGAUAGCUGGUUCUCCCCGAAAGCUAUUUAGGUAGCGCCUCGUGAAUUCAUCUCCGGGGGUAGAGCACUGUUUCGGCAAGGGGGUCAUCCCGACUUACCAACCCGAUGCAAACUGCGAAUACCGGAGAAUGUUAUCACGGGAGACACACGGCGGGUGCUAACGUCCGUCGUGAAGAGGGAAACAACCCAGACCGCCAGCUAAGGUCCCAAAGUCAUGGUUAAGUGGGAAACGAUGUGGGAAGGCCCAGACAGCCAGGAUGUUGGCUUAGAAGCAGCCAUCAUUUAAAGAAAGCGUAAUAGCUCACUGGUCGAGUCGGCCUGCGCGGAAGAUGUAACGGGGCUAAACCAUGCACCGAAGCUGCGGCAGCGACGCUUAUGCGUUGUUGGGUAGGGGAGCGUUCUGUAAGCCUGCGAAGGUGUGCUGUGAGGCAUGCUGGAGGUAUCAGAAGUGCGAAUGCUGACAUAAGUAACGAUAAAGCGGGUGAAAAGCCCGCUCGCCGGAAGACCAAGGGUUCCUGUCCAACGUUAAUCGGGGCAGGGUGAGUCGACCCCUAAGGCGAGGCCGAAAGGCGUAGUCGAUGGGAAACAGGUUAAUAUUCCUGUACUUGGUGUUACUGCGAAGGGGGGACGGAGAAGGCUAUGUUGGCCGGGCGACGGUUGUCCCGGUUUAAGCGUGUAGGCUGGUUUUCCAGGCAAAUCCGGAAAAUCAAGGCUGAGGCGUGAUGACGAGGCACUACGGUGCUGAAGCAACAAAUGCCCUGCUUCCAGGAAAAGCCUCUAAGCAUCAGGUAACAUCAAAUCGUACCCCAAACCGACACAGGUGGUCAGGUAGAGAAUACCAAGGCGCUUGAGAGAACUCGGGUGAAGGAACUAGGCAAAAUGGUGCCGUAACUUCGGGAGAAGGCACGCUGAUAUGUAGGUGAGGUCCCUCGCGGAUGGAGCUGAAAUCAGUCGAAGAUACCAGCUGGCUGCAACUGUUUAUUAAAAACACAGCACUGUGCAAACACGAAAGUGGACGUAUACGGUGUGACGCCUGCCCGGUGCCGGAAGGUUAAUUGAUGGGGUUAGCGCAAGCGAAGCUCUUGAUCGAAGCCCCGGUAAACGGCGGCCGUAACUAUAACGGUCCUAAGGUAGCGAAAUUCCUUGUCGGGUAAGUUCCGACCUGCACGAAUGGCGUAAUGAUGGCCAGGCUGUCUCCACCCGAGACUCAGUGAAAUUGAACUCGCUGUGAAGAUGCAGUGUACCCGCGGCAAGACGGAAAGACCCCGUGAACCUUUACUAUAGCUUGACACUGAACAUUGAGCCUUGAUGUGUAGGAUAGGUGGGAGGCUUUGAAGUGUGGACGCCAGUCUGCAUGGAGCCGACCUUGAAAUACCACCCUUUAAUGUUUGAUGUUCUAACGUUGACCCGUAAUCCGGGUUGCGGACAGUGUCUGGUGGGUAGUUUGACUGGGGCGGUCUCCUCCUAAAGAGUAACGGAGGAGCACGAAGGUUGGCUAAUCCUGGUCGGACAUCAGGAGGUUAGUGCAAUGGCAUAAGCCAGCUUGACUGCGAGCGUGACGGCGCGAGCAGGUGCGAAAGCAGGUCAUAGUGAUCCGGUGGUUCUGAAUGGAAGGGCCAUCGCUCAACGGAUAAAAGGUACUCCGGGGAUAACAGGCUGAUACCGCCCAAGAGUUCAUAUCGACGGCGGUGUUUGGCACCUCGAUGUCGGCUCAUCACAUCCUGGGGCUGAAGUAGGUCCCAAGGGUAUGGCUGCCCGCCAUUUAAAGUGGUACGCGAGCUGGGUUUAGAACGUCGUGAGACAGUUCGGUCCCUAUCUGCCGUGGGCGCUGGAGAACUGAGGGGGGCUGCUCCUAGUACGAGAGGACCGGAGUGGACGCAUCACUGGUGUUCGGGUUGUCAUGCCAAUGGCACUGCCCGGUAGCUAAAUGCGGAAGAGAUAAGUGCUGAAAGCAUCUAAGCACGAAACUUGCCCCGAGAUGAGUUCUCCCUGACCCUUUAAGGGUCCUGAAGGAACGUUGAAGACGACGACGUUGAUAGGCCGGGUGUGUAAGCGCAGCGAUGCGUUGAGCUAACCGGUACUAAUGAACCGUGAGGCUUAACCUU